rnacentral:rRNA from 1 species
GGGACACAGAAGGACAACACAUCCCGGGAAUGGGAAUACCGGGGCAAGCGAGGUAGGAGUACGGUUGGCAAAUCCGCCGUGCAAUCCGAAGACGUGACGCGCAACGAACUAAAGUAGCGAAGUGUGUGAUUCCGGCUGUCAAGAAAAGCCGCUAUUGUGUGAUACAUGCCCGUACCGUAAACCGACACAGGUAGAUGAGGAGAGAAUCCUAAGGCCGGCGGGAGAAGCAUUGUUAAGGAACUCGGCAAAAUGACCCCGUAACUUCGGGAGAAGGGGUGCCACAGAGAUGUGGCCGCAGAGAAUAGGCUCAAGCAACUGUUUAGCAAAAACACAGGUCUAUGCAAAACCGUAAGGUGAGGUAUAUGGGCUGACGCCUGCCCGGUGCUGGAAGGUUAAGAGGAGAGGUUAGUGCAAGCGAAGCUUUGAAUUUAAGCCCCAGUAAACGGCGGCCGUAACUAUAACGGUCCUAAGGUAGCGAAAUUCCUUGUCGGGUAAGUUCCGACCCGCACGAAAGGCGUAAUGAUUUGAGCGCUGUCUCAACAAUGCACCCGGUGAAAUUGAAAUACCAGUGAAGAUGCUGGUUACCUGCGCCAGGACGGAAAGACCCCAUGGAGCUUUACUCCAGUUUGAUACUGGGAUUCGGUAUUGCAUGUACAGGAUAGGUGGGAGGCUUUGAAACAUGGACGCCAGUCUGUGUGGAGCCAAUGUUGGGAUACCACCCUUGCGAUAUUGGGUUUCUAACCUGCGCCCGUGACCCGGGCGGGGGACAAUGUCAGGCGGGGAGUUUGACUGGGGCGGUCGCCUCCGAAAGGGUAUCGGAGGCGCUCAAAGGUUCCCUCAGGAUGGUUGGAAACCAUCCAAAGAGUGCAAAGGCAUAAGGGAGCUUGACUGCGACACCGACGGGUGGAGCAGGUACGAAAGUAGGACUUAGUGAUCCGGUGGUAUGAAAGUGGGAUUGCCAUCGCUCAACGGAUAAAAGCUACCCUGGGGAUAACAGGCUUAUCACUCCCAAGAGUUCACAUCGACGGAGUGGUUUGGCACCUCGAUGUCGGCUCAUCGCAUCCUGGGGCUGUAGCAGGUCCCAAGGGUUGGGCUGUUCGCCCAUUAAAGCGGUACGCGAGCUGGGUUCAGAACGUCGUGAGACAGUUCGGUCCCUAUCCGGCGCGGGCGUAGGAUAUCUGAGAGGAGCUGUCCUUAGUACGAGAGGACCGGGAUGGACAGACCGCUGGUGUACCUGUUGGCCUACCAAGGCCAUGGCAGGGUAGCCAAGUCUGGACGGGAUAAACGCUGAAGGCAUCUAAGCGUGAAGCCCCCCUCAAGAUGAGAUAUCCCAUCGCGAAAGCGAGUAAGACCCCUUGAAGACGACGAGGUAGAUAGGUUAGAGGUGGAAGUGCAGUAAUGUACGGAGCUGACUAAUACUAAUCGGUCGAGGGCUUAUCCAG